rnacentral:rRNA from 1 species
CCGCACGCGCGCUACACUGAUGCAAGCAACAAGUACUUCCUUGACUGGCAAGUCAGGGUAACCUUUUGAAAUUGCAUCGUGAUGGGGUUUGACGAUUGUAAUUGUUCGUCACUAACGAGGAAUUCCUAGUAAGCGCGGGUCAUCAGCCCGCACUGAUUACGU